rfam:Ceraceosorus bombacis genome assembly, contig: Scaffold_266
GGCUCGAUGGCCGAGUGGUCUAAGGCGCUACGUUAAGGUUACCUUAAUCCGUAUCAGGCUUUGCCUGGGUCUACCGUAGUCCGAAAGGGCGUGGGUUCGAGUCCCACUCGAGUCA